rnacentral:lncRNA from 1 species
AUGCUAUGUACAAGAUGCAUCAUAAUGCAAGGAAGCCUCAUGAUAUUAUCAACCAAAAUUACAGCAACAAAAGUCAAUUACUUUGACAUCAAGACCUUGAAGAAAAAUCAAAAUAUAAAGUUCCAAAUUCAUGAGUUUAUUUCAUUUCUUUUAUGUAAACUUGAAAACUUAACAAAAACUCGUGAAUCAAGUCCACCAAAUGCAAAUUCUCUACAACAUUUUGAUGUCAAGCAUUGUAUACAAUCAAAGAGUUAUCAUUAA